rnacentral:sRNA from 1 species
AAACGGUGUAAACCGUGAAGGAUGAGAACCGUAAAGGUUCGAGUCGAGCGAAAGCGAGACAACGUUGCUUCAGCAACGGCCCGUAGGGCGAAGUCAUCCUGCGCGACCCACCA